rnacentral:rRNA from 1 species
UACGUAGGGUGCAAGCGUUGUCCGGAUUUAUUGGGCGUAAAGAGCUCGUAGGCGGUCUGUCGCGUCGGAUGUGAAAACCCAGGGCUCAACCCUGGGCCUGCAUUCGGUACGGGCAGACUAGAGUGUGGCAGGGGAGACUGGAAUUCCUGGUGUAGCGGUGAAAUGCGCAGAUAUCAGGAGGAACACCGGUGGCGAAGGCGGGUCUCUGGGCCGAUACUGACGCUGAGGAGCGAAAGCGUGGGGAGCGAACAGG